rnacentral:rRNA from 1 species
AUGGAUUGUGAAAUCUCCCUGAACAUGCCUGAUCUCUUCUACUUUUAGAAGCUAAUUAGGAUUGGUCCUGGUUAAUACCUUGAUGGGAGAUCACAAGGGAAUAUUGGGGAUCUUCUGGU